CCUACGGGAGGCAGCAGUGGGGAAUAUUGGACAAUGGGGGCAACCCUGAUCCAGCCAUGCCGCGUGUGUGAAGAAGGCCCUCGGGUUGUAAAGCACUUUCAGUGAGGAAGAACGCCUGGUGGUUAAUACCCAUCAGGAAAGACAUCACUCACAGAAGAAGCACCGGCUAACUCCGUGCCAGCAGCCGCGGUAAUACGGAUGGUGCGAGCGUUAAUCGGAAUUACUGGGCGUAAAGCGCGCGUAGGUGGCUUGAUAAGCCGGUUGUGAAAGCCCCGGGCUCAACCUGGGAACGGCAUCCGGAACUGUCAAGCUAGAGUGCAGGAGAGGAAGGUAGAAUUCCAGGUGUAGCGGUGAAAUGCGUAGAGAUCGGGAGGAAUACCAGUGGCGAAGGCGGCCUUCUGGACUGACACUGACACUGAGGUGCGAAAGCGUGGGGAGCAAACAGGAUUAGAUACCCUUGUAGUC
rnacentral:rRNA from 1 species